rnacentral:rRNA from 1 species
ACGAACGCUGGCGGCGUGGAUUAGGCAUGCAAGUCGAACGCGAAAGAGGGGGCUAACUCCUCGAGUAGAGUGGCGAACGGGUGAGUAACGCGUGAAGAACCUGCCCUUCGAGAGGGGGAUAACACUCCCAACGGGGUGCUAAUACCGCAUGAGACCACGGAGCUGCAUGGCUCUGUGCUCAAAGGUGGCCUCUAUUUAUAAGCUACCGCUCGAAGAUGGCUUCGCGUCCCAUUAGCUUGUUGGCGGUGUAAAAGACCACCAAGGCGACGAUGGGUAGCUGGUCUGAGAGGAUGGUCAGCCACACUGGGACUGAGAUACGGCCCAGACUCCUACGGGAGGCAGCAGUCGAGAGGCUUCGGCAAUGGGGGAAACCCUGACCGAGCGACGCCGCGGUGGGGGAUGAAGGCCCUUGGGUUGUAAACUCCCUUUUGUUCGGGAAGAAAUGCUGAUCAGGUGAAUAAUCUGGUCGUUUGACGGUACCGGUGGAAUAAGCUCCCGGCUAACUUCCGUGCCAGCAGCCGCGGGUAAUACGAGGGGGAGCAAGCGUUGUUCGGAAUUCAUGGGCGUAGAAGGGCGUCGUAGGCGGUCGGUAAGGGCACUGUGAAACUACUCUGGGCUCAACGGCAGAGCACUGCAUCCCAACUGCUCGUGCUUGGUAUGAGUGGGAGAGGGCGUGGAAUUCCCUGGUGUAGCGGUGAAAUGCGUAGAUAUCAGGGAGGAACACCGGUGGCGAAAGCGCCUCUGUCAUGGCCCACAACUGACGCUGAAUGCGCGAAAGCUAGGGGAGCAAACAGGGAUUAGAUACCCUGGUAGGUCCUAGCCCGUAAACGGUGAAUAGGUGCUUGGAUGUAGUCGGGACCCCCAUCCCACGUGCCGCUAGCUAACGACUUAAGGCAUCCCGCCUGGGGAGUACGGUCCGCAAGGCUGAAACUCAAAGGAAUUGACGGGGGCCCGCACAAGCGGUGGAGCAUGUGGUUCAAUUCGACGCAACGCGAAGAACCUUACCCAUGCCUUAAGCAUGCAUUAGGACCUGGUGUGGAAACAUCACCUUUCCCUCAGGGACCUGGCUGCACAGGUGCUGCAUGGCUGUCGUCAGCUCGUGUCGUGAGAUGUUGGGUUAAGUCCCGCAACGAGCGCAAUCCCUUAGUCGUUAGUUGCCAGUCCUGUCAAGCUGGGCACUCUAGCAGAGACCGCCAGCGAUAAGCUGGAGGAAGGUGGGGAUGACGUCAAGUCCUCAUGGCCUUAAUGUCCAGGGCUACACACGUGCUACAAUGGCCGGUACAAAGCCGUCAGCUAAGUCCGCGAGGGGGAGCAUAAUCGCAAAAAAGCCUGCCUCAGUUCGGAUGGAGUCUGCAACUCGACCGCCAUGAAGCUGGAAUCGCUAGUAAUCGGCAGUAUCAGAACGCUGCCGUGAAUACGUUCCCGGGGCCUUGUACACACCGCCCGUCACAUCACGACAAGUGGGUUAUGUACUAGAAGUCCGUCCAGGCCUGACCCGCAAGGGAGGGCGGACGGCCAAGGUAUGACUCAUGAUUGGGGUG